UUUUUUUUUUUUUUUUUUUUUGCAGUGUAGAAGCCUUUUCAUUUUAUGUGAUGCCACUUAUCAAUCCUGACUGAUCCUUCAUGAGAUAUUUGGAUUCUAUGCAGAAAAUCCUUAUCUAUAGCCAUACCUUGAGGUGCUUUCCUACAUUUUCCUGUAGAACUUUUACUUUAAGGUCUUAUGUUAAAGUGUUUGAUUCAUUUUGAAUUGGUCUUUAAGUACUGUGAGAUAUAGAGUUCUAACUUCAGUCUUCUACACCUGGCUACCAAGACAUUCCAACGCCAUCUCUUAAAGAGAGCCUCAUUUAUCCAAUGGGUGUUUUGAUAAUGUGGUAAGGAAUCAGAUGGCUAUAACUGCAUGAAUUUAUUUCUGGGUACUGUGUUCUAUUAUCUUGAUUUACCUGUCAGAUUGUGUGUCAAUAUCAUACCUGUUUAUUAUUGUGGCUCUUUAGCAUUCUUGAAGUCGAGUAUUUUAGAUGCUUCCAACACUAUGCCUUUUUCUCUGGAUUAUUUUGUUUCUUUGUGAAUUCUGUUAUUUUGUUGUCAAGCUCAGUGAAAAAGGACACUGGAAUUGUUAUAUGGACUUGAUUCUUCUUGAUAGUAUGUACAUUUAUAAAAUAUUAAUGAUGCUGUUCCAUGGAUAGGGAGUCUUUAAAUCUUGUAGAGCUGACUUCAUUGACUUUGAGAUUUUGUAGGUUUUAGAGGCUGAGGCACUUCUUGACAGCUUUAGCCCUUGGUAUCUUCAUUCUUUUUGAGAUAAUUUACAAAUUAUAUUGUUCUCAUUAUUUCCUUUAUGGCAGGCUCAUUAUUAAAUUCUACUGAUUUUAUUUUGAUGUUGUACCCUCCUAUAUUUAUAAUUUAUUUUAAAUUUAUUUAAUUUAUUGUAAAAUCUUUUGGUAGUGUGUCUGUAUGUUCUCAACAGAGAAUGAUAUAUGCAAAUAGGGCUCAGAUGGUUUCCUCCUUAGCUGCUACUGCUUUUUAUUAUUUCAAAUCUUGUAUCACAAAAGUCAGUUUGGAGUUGAUAAUGUUGUUCUGAUUAUAGAGAAAAUAAGUACAGAUUUUAUAGAUUAGUUGUUCUACGGGUUUUUACAUACAUAGCCUUUAUUACAUUGGGAUGUAAAUUUUGUUCUUCUGAUUCUUUAGUACUUGCAAACAUGGAAAAAUGAUGGUUUUAAUGCCAUAUGUUCUUUGAAGCAGUCAUAUAAGUUUUGUCUUUGAUACCAUCUAUGUUUAGCAUUACAUUUAUUAAUUUACAUAUCUUAAGCUUUCCGUGCACCCAUGUGACAAGGCCAACAUGAUCACAAUAUGUGAAUAUUUUUAUGUGUUUUGAAUUUGUCUUUCAAAUAUUUUUGAAUAUGUUUUUCCAUCAUUGUGAGCCAAGGAUAUUGGCUUACAGUUUUUCCUUCAGGUUGUCCUCAUCUAUUUUUCAUAUCAAGGUGACACUGGCUUCCUUCACAUUUAGGAAGUAUUUCUUACCUUCAAGUGUAUGAAGAAUUUUUUCAUAGUAUUUCUUUAAAACUCUAAUAAACUUCAGCAAUAAAAAUGUCUAAUCUUAGGUAUUACUUUAUUUAGACACCUCAUUAUUUACCAUUUUCACUUCUCAUUGCUGGUUAUAGAUUGUUUAUCUUUUGGAGGUUAACUUUAGUAUGUACAUAUCUAUAAAUUUAUUGUUUUUUAAUUUUAUUUUAUUUGCAAUUCAUUUUUAUACUCCAUAUUUCAUUCCCUGCCCCUCCCCAUUCACCCUCCAACUGCUCCACAUCCCACACCUUCUCCCUACCCUACCCCUUCUCCACAUACAUGGAUGCCUCCAUUUCCCAGUGCUCCUGAUGUCUAAACUUCCUGGGGCCUCCAGUCUCUUGAGGAUUAGGUGUAUCAUCUCUGAAUGAACACAGACCUGGAAGACUUCUGUAUGUGUGUUGGGGGCCUCAUAUCAGCUGGUGUCUGUUUGGUGGUCCAGUGCUUGAAAGAUCGGGGGAGGGGGGUCAGAUUAAUUAAGACUGUUGGUCCUUCUACAGAAUCACACUUCUCUUCAGCUUCUUUCUGCCUUCCCUAAUUCAACAACAGGGGUCAGCUGCUUCUGUCCAAAUUUAUUCUUUUAUUGUAGAUUUUUCAUUUUAUUGAAUGUAAGACUUUAAAAAUACUACUUAAUGAUGUUCUAUAUUUCAGCUGUAUCUGUGGUAAUAUUCUUUUUACAUUUCUUAUAAAAACUUGGACCGUCUGUUACUUUUGGUUAAUUUAAUGGAGGUUUUGUCAAUGUGUUUAAUCUUUUCAAAGAAACAAAUUUUUAUUUCAUUUAUCUCUUUUAUUGAUUGUUUAGCCUUUAUUUUAUUAUUUCCAAAUAUAUUCUUCAUUAUUUCUUUUCUUUACAGAUUUUUAGAUUGGUUUAUUUUAAUAAAUUUUGAUAUACAUCAAUAAGCUAUUUAUUUAUGCUCUCUGAGUUUUGUAAUGUCAGAAUUCAAUAGUUACAAAUUCAUUUCUCAGAUAAACAUAAGAACCUUUUCAUCUUUCCUAAUUGAUAGUUUUCAGCCUCUUAAUAGUUUCAUAUUUUAGUUAAUAGAGUACCAAUUUCUUGGCUUGUGUCCAUGGUCUUAUCCAGCGUUGAAAGCACUUUUAAGUAAGAUAAAAUAUAUUCAUUCACUAUUAUUUCAUUUAAAUAACACAUAUUUGAAAGAUUACUAUGUACCUAGUUCUGUAGAUAUCAUCGUGUAAUCAGAUAACUUCCUUUAGGAAGUUUCUGGACCAGUGGAAUAGAAAAUAUAUACAUGAAAGUGUGUGUGUCCUCAUGUAUAUACAUACACACACACACACACACACACACACACACACACACACACACACACACAUACAGAGAAUAAGUAGCCAAUGCUGACAAAUGCUUCAGUAGAAAAGUAUUUACCCUCUGUUAACUUUGGUUAGAAUUCUUCAGUUUGCAAAGUAGCAUGGAGAAUAGUCUCUGAGUAAGAUUUCUUCCAGAUAAUGCAAGACCAGAGCAGUGGUUAAGCAAAUGAGGGUGUAAGAUGGGUAUUGUAUCUUCCUAAGAGCAGAUGGAGUAAGUGAAUUUGAAAGAAAUUCAUAAUGGAAAGGACAUACAAGUGAAAUACAUCUGAAUCAUGUCACAAUGUAAGC
rnacentral:lncRNA from 1 species